GAUGAACGCUAGCGGGAGGCCUAACACAUGCAAGCCGAGCGGUAUUGUUUCUUCGGAAGUGAGAGAGCGGCGUACGGGUGCGGAACACGUGUGCAACCUGCCUUUAUCUGGGGGAUAGCCUUUCGAAAGGAAGAUUAAUACUCCAUAAUAUAUUGAACGGCAUCGUUUAAUAUUGAAAGCUCCGGCGGAUAGAGAUGGGCACGCGCAAGAUUAGCUAGUUGGUGAGGUAACGGCUCACCAAGGCGAUGAUCUUUAGGGGGCCUGAGAGGGUGAUCCCCCACACUGGUACUGAGACACGGACCAGACUCCUACGGGAGGCAGCAGUGAGGAAUAUUGGUCAAUGGGUGCAAGCCUGAACCAGCCAUCCCGCGUGAAGGACGACUGCCCUAUGGGUUGUAAACUUCUUUUGUAUAGGGAUAAACCUACCCUCGUGAGGGUAGCUGAAGGUACUAUACGAAUAAGCACCGGCUAACUCCGUGCCAGCAGCCGCGGUAAUACGGAGGGUGCAAGCGUUAUCCGGAUUUAUUGGGUUUAAAGGGUCCGUAGGCGGACUUAUAAGUCAGUGGUGAAAGCCUGUCGCUUAACGAUAGAACUGCCAUUGAUACUGUAAGUCUUGAGUAUAUUUGAGGUAGCUGGAAUAAGUAGUGUAGCGGUGAAAUGCAUAGAUAUUACUUAGAACACCAAUUGCGAAGGCAGGUUACCAAGAUAUAACUGACGCUGAGGGACGAGAGCGUGGGGAGCGAACAGGAUUAGAUACCCUGGUAGUCCACGCCGUAAACGAUGCUAACUCGUUUUUGGGCUUUAGGGUUCAGAGACCAAGCGAAAGUGAUAAGUUAGCCACCUGGGGAGUACGCUCGCAAGAGUGAAACUCAAAGGAAUUGACGGGGGCCCGCACAAGCGGUGGAUUAUGUGGUUUAAUUCGAUGAUACGCGAGGAACCUUACCAAGACUUAAAUGGGAAUUGACAGCUUUAGAAAUAGAGCUUUCUUCGGACAAUUUUCAAGGUGCUGCAUGGUUGUCGUCAGCUCGUGCCGUGAGGUGUUAGGUUAAGUCCUGCAACGAGCGCAACCCCUGUCACUAGUUGCCAUCAUUCAGUUGGGGACUCUAGUGAGACUGCCUACGCAAGUAGAGAGGAAGGUGGGGAUGACGUCAAAUCAUCACGGCCCUUACGUCUUGGGCCACACACGUAAUACAAUGGCCGGUACAGAGGGCAGCUACACAGCGAUGUGAUGCAAAUCUCGAAAGCCGGUCUCAGUUCGGAUUGGAGUCUGCAACUCGACUCUAUGAAGCUGGAAUCGCUAGUAAUCGCGCAUCAGCCAUGGCGCGGUGAAUACGUUCCCGGGCCU
rnacentral:rRNA from 1 species